UGCCAGCCGCCGCGGUAAUACGAACUGUGCAAACGUUAUUCGGAAUCACUGGGCUUAAAGGGUGCGUAGGCGGGUUGGUAGGUCAGAUGUGAAAGCCCACGGCUCAACCGUGGAAUUGCGUUUGAAACCACUAGUCUUGAGGGGAUCAGAGGAGAGCGGAACUGAUGGUGGAGCGGUGAAAUGCGUUGAUAUUACCAGGAACACCGGUGGCGAAAGCGGCUCACUGGCUCGAUACUGACGCUGAGGUACGAAAGUGUGGGGAGCAAACAGGAUUAGAUA
rnacentral:rRNA from 1 species